rnacentral:rRNA from 1 species
GCCUGCAGCCAUAUCACCCUGCAACUCACAGCUGGCAACCAGCUGAAGCUAAGCUGGUGUGAGCCUGGUCAGUACCUCUGUGGGAGACCUCCAGGGAAAAACUUUGGUUGCUGCUGGAA